UGCCUUUGGAGUCCUACUAUGGAAAUAAUUCCUUGUACCAGUUUCUUGAAGUGUUUUCCCUAAGCUUGUUGCUAAUAGUUUUGGUUUCAGGACUUCCAGUUAUCUUUUAUUAAUUUUUAAUUGAUUUUUAUACUGAUAGACAGGUCAGGUUUAAAUCUUCUACGUGUAUCUCAUGUUUUCUCUCAUCCUCCCCCUCUUUUCUCCCUCCCUCCCUUCCUCCAUUUGGCAGCCCUGGGGACUGAAUCUGAGGGCCUUUGUACAGAGCUACCACCGGUCUUUUCUAUUUUUUAUUUCAGGUUCUUGCUACAUUGCUAAGUUACCCAUGCUGGGCUUGAAUUGAUGAUCCUCCUGCCUCCCAGAGUGUGGGGAUUACAGGCGUGUGCCACCACCACCACGCUCAGUCCUCACACGGUCUUCGUCCAUUUACUGGUUCCCAAGACACCAAAAGCCAGUGGAGCGAUCAAGACAGCAAACAGGAAAGGAAACCUUUCCAUCCUGUCUGCUCUUUCCAUGGCCAUAAAACCUGCCAACAUGCACCGUUGGUCCAGCAUCACUAGGCGGCAAACCUCUGUGAAUAGAGAGAGAUUCAACUUGGAGCCAACACUGCUGAGCUGGCACCAGGUCAGAGUUCCUGUGUGGUUGGAUCAGCCACCAGCCUCUGCCCCCGGUGCUCUCAAACUCUGAAUUUUCCUCUGAUUGCCUGUUGUUUCUAGCAUAUUUAAUCGCCUUUUAUUAUUAAAAGCAGUACAUAUGCAUUGCAAAAACUAUUACAAAAUUUAGGUAGACAAAAAUAAAAGCAACGCCUACCAUCCAGAGAAUGGUAUUGUAACCUCUUUGUUCUUAUCUUUCUGGAUCUCUAUAUACUCAUACACCCACAUGUAAGAUAAGAUUGUGUUAGAAUACAGUACCUGCUCUCUGGUGCAAGAUACCCCAGCUUCGCUUUGUGUCUUCUGUGCACCAGGCCCGAAAUCAGACAUUUCUCUAACGCUUGCUGCUUUCUUCUAGUGGGAGAUGAUACUGGAGUCCAUGAUGUGGAUGUUCUGGGAUGCUCAUUGCUGCUGAUGUGGCAUCGUUCCUAGACCAUUUUAAUGGACAAAGCUAGGAUUUUUCAAUUGUGAAUGCUGUUAGCACUGACACUGAUUUUAA
rnacentral:lncRNA from 1 species